CAGUCGCCGCGGGAAUACGGAGGGGGCUAGCGUUGUUCGGAUUUACUGGGCGUAAAGCGCACGUAGGCGGAAAUUUAAGUCAGGGGUGAAAUCCCGAGGCUCAACCUCGGAACUGCCUUUGAUACUGGGGAUCUCGAGUCCGGGAGAGGUGAGUGGAACUGCGAGUGUAGAGGUGAAAUUCGUAGAUAUUCGCAAGAACACCAGUGGCGAAGGCGGCUCACUGGCCCGGUACUGACGCUGAGGUGCGAAAGCGUGGGGAGCAAGCAGGAUUAGAUACCCCUGUAGUCCCUGUCUCUUAUAC
rnacentral:rRNA from 1 species